rnacentral:tRNA from 1 species
ACAGACUGUAGCUCAGUGGUAGAGCAUUCGACUGCAGAUCGAGAGGUCCGUGGUUCAACUCCGCGUGCCCCCU